rnacentral:rRNA from 1 species
UACAGAGGGUGCGAGCGUUAAUCGGAUUUACUGGGCGUAAAGCGUACGUAGGCGGCUUUUUAAGUCGGAUGUGAAAUCCCUGAGCUUAACUUAGGAAUUGCAUUCGAUACUGGGAAACUAGAGUAUGGGAGAGGAUGGUAGAAUUCCAGGUGUAGCGGUGAAAUGCGUAGAGAUCUGGAGGAAUACCGAUGGCGAAGGCAGCCAUCUGGCCUAAUACUGACGCUGAGGUACGAAAGCAUGGGGAGCAAACAGG